rnacentral:siRNA from 1 species
UGAAGAGGAAUGGGAAGCCGA